UUGAAUUGGACAAAAUCCAGCACAAUCCAGCAAAAUCCUGCUGAGACCCAGUAGAAAGUUCAAGUAUUUAAAUUUUAAAAAACCUACACUGCAAGAGACAUUUACACUGCAACACCUUUUGUCUUGGAUGACAGAAAGUGCAGUGUAAAUGUUUUCAAAGAUAUGUCUGUUGUAGUUUAGGUUUCAGCAGAGUAAGAUGUACGGUUCUUCAGAUGAAGACCAGAUACUCAUGUCCCCUACAGGGUUUGAGUUUUCAUUUUUAAAUUAUUUUUGCACGUCUACCAUAGUCAACUGAAUAUUUACCAUUUUCCCCCCACUCUCUCAGAUCCCUUAAGUGCUAUGCCUAUUGAUUUUGUUUCAUAACUCAAAAGGGAUGCUUUUGAUUUCUUUUUGAUUUCCAUGGGAAGGGGCUUCAUAAAGAGCCAUGUCUGAAAUUCUGUCAUCAGCUGUGCGCCCUGGUGAUUUUACAGGUUGCAGAAAUGCUGCCUCAGUGCCAAACAGGACAAUGCUGUGGGAUCUGACGGAAUGCUGUCCUUUCUUACCUCAUGGUAUCUGACUGGGCGCCAUCUUGGCUCUGUCUUCCUCUCACAUGCAUAGUGUACCGUGCAGCCAAGCGUCCUUGGAGCAUGACAUUUUAUCCUGAGGAUCUUUCAUUGAAAAACAAUUGUAUACAAGAUCCAUAUGGAAAAGUUAGUCCAACGAGAAUGCAUUUUUUUCUUAAUGCAUCCAUUAUGGAGAGCUGGGAGAAAUUUAACUUGUUUAUUUUGUCUCCUUACAGCUCUGAGAUACACUGUGUACACAGAGGGACAGGUCUGAUGUAAGAUUCAGCUUUUCACAGUGUCCAGAAAGUCCUUCCUACUUCGCUGUCUUUGUGGGAUAAGGGCUUUAAUAAAAUGUUUUCAUUUUUUUAUGUCAGAUUAAUGUAUUAUGUUGACUGCGCUGAAAUUAUUAUUAUUCAUUCACAUACUUGCGUGUGACUGAAAUGAUUUUUAUGAGCUUAUCAUAAACCUGAUCCAGUGACUACAGAAUUGCAUAGAAAAGCUCCUUUUGUAUUUAUCGACUUUUUUUGCAUGAUUUGCCCUUUGGUUCCCCUUUUCAUGGCAAAGAAACAUCAUGCAUAAUCAUCUUUUAUGAAAAUGUAAUCAAUGCAGUUUGAAGUGCUAUGAGUCAUAACUGAUUGCUUAAACUUGAAAGAAAUGCUAAUACGAGUUUGUUGAAUGUAUUAGCCCUGCUCUGAAAAUGUUCAAUGGCAAGGCAGUCAUGCUGUUUUUUAAUGUUGCCUGAAAUGUUCUUGUUUAUAGUUUUCGGGACUUAUGAGCCUCUCCUUUCAAUGAAAGUCUUGAAAUCGUGUUUGUGAACAGUUGUGGUUUUGACACCGCAGAUUUUUCAUAUUGGUAAUCCAUCAAAAGUAUGGUAUUUCCGAGUUAGAAAAAAAAAAAACGAUUCCCAAUGACGGGUUGAGGAAAACAUUGAAAUUGUUUCCACGGCAGCAGAACUCAUGCUUGAAGCGUUCUUUUCCGCCAGGCAGUUCUGGAAAUAGAGACGUCCCUCUUUCAGUGCGGAUUGGAAUUGGUCAUCUUCCUGAAAUCCGGUAAUUUCCAUCUGAGCUGCCACUUCAUCAGUGACUAAAUUGGCCGCCAUACAAUCAAUUUCUGCACUAAAAGGAUUGAUCAAAAAGGUCUGAGGUCCUUCAACAAAUGGACCGCAGAACUGAAGGUGACGCCCUGCGUGACUGUGCCUCAUCGUUUCCCCUUUCGCAUUUGCCUGUGAAACCUACUGGUUUGUUUAAAAUGCAAACCCUUCCCGCACCGGAUCUGACAGCAUCAUUAACCUUCCUUGUAAGCCUGUGUUUUGUCCGAGUGGGGAAGCAUGUGUACUGUGAAUGAAGAAUCCAACAGGCCUGAAUGCACCGGGUGUUCUCUGGUUCUCUCCCAUGAAUAAUUUGACGGGACUCAGCAGCUUGAAUAAAGAAAAAUGAAGCGAUGCAUCUCUGACAACUUUCCUUCACUUCUGGACAGUGCAUCCAAAUGUCACGACAGGAAGAUGGUUGUUUUCUCAUUUUUUACUUAGACUUAGAAAAUCUUAUGUGAUUUUGUAUAACCAAGAAAUUUCUCCUUACAGAGCUAAAUGAACUCAUCUGUUCAUUCUGAGAAAUCAUCCCAAUUUCCCCAACCCCACACAGUCCCAAUGCCCCCACCCCCCCCCCCCGAUCCCCGGAAAAUCCAGCACCCCUUUUGCCAUUUUUUUUGGUUUAGGACUUGGACUAACCCCCCUGAAAUACUGUGGUUUCCUCCUAGCCUGUUCCACCAGUAGACAGGCUUAUCAGUUCAAAAAGUUUUCAGAAUGAUUAAUUAAAGUUUUGUAAUGUUGUAAUGCUUACAAUUGCUUUAUAAAGUCAGGAUAUUAUGCUCUGAAAAUUAUUAUGUUUAUGAAGUAUGAUAUUGGUUUUGUUUAGUUUUUGUUCUUUUUUUUCCUUUUACCAAUUAUUGUGGUGUAGUACCCUAAAACAAUUACUUAGCAAUGUGUAAUGUUUGAUUGUAUUUUAAUGCUGCUUGCUGUUCUGGCUGUUCAACUUGGAUUGCUGCUCGCUCUUAUGGGGCUAGCUUAUGUUUUUGAGUUAUUAUUCAAUAUCACGUGAUAUGCAGGUGUUCUGAUCUGGAGGAAUAAUAAAUUAUUAAAUCAGUGUAGUCUCUCAAGGAUAUAUUUCCCACAGCUCAUAAAGGCAAGUGUUAAUUAUUGGCCCUUGGUCAAAGUGCAUUCAUUCCUUGUUCCCAUUUCAAAUAUGAAAGCUUUUACACAGGGGGGAUCAUUUUCCAGGAGUCGGAAUGUCUUCAUUGAGGAAAGGAACUACAGUGAUCUAAACUCUGAUGGGGGGUAAUUACUAUAUUUGAAAUAAAACUAAUGGACUCAG